CUGAGUGAUGAUGAAGGUGCAUCUGGUGAAUUGGAAAAGUGUAAAUUGGAAAGUCUUGCAGGUUUCUUUGGUGAAUGAUGGCCCUGAGACGAUGCAAAUCGACUCACCCUCACCGCAAGAUGCUGCUCGGUCAUGGUACAUUGAAAUAUGGAGUGCACUGUACUGUAGGUAAAUUGGUUCCAAAUCUGUGCUCCCAGACAGUGAUGACUCGUUGCAUCCAAUGUACAAGGUGUGUCAGGCUUUCUACUAAGGCUGUUGGAGUUCAAGAUUAUUAUGGCUUGCUAAAAAGUAUAUUACUGUGGUAUGAUGGCCUCUGUCUGGUUUAGUAAUCUUUAUGUCAACUUCUGCAACAUAAAAAUCGGGCCCAAGAAGUUGCUGAACAGGCAACACAUGCUCCUUUGAUUGGGUCAUCCAUCGAGGCAGCUACUGGCGUUGUGUAUAAUAUUACUCUGGUGGGAAGGACAUCACUUUGCAAGAAGUGAACAAGGUGUCCCAGAUUGUGACAAGCCUAGCUGACCCAUAUGUGAACAUAAUUUUUGGUGCCGUCGUUGAUGACCGUUACACUGGUGAGAUACAUGUGACAAUCAUUGCGAUAGGAUUUCCACAGUCCUUCCAGAAAUCCCUUUUGGUGGAUCCAAAGGGAGCACGUAUAGUGGAAUCCAAAGAGAAAGCAGCAACCCUCGCCCAUAAAGCAGCAGCUGCUGCAGAUCAAUCGGUCCUUGCUUCUGCUUGGUCUCGAAGACUCUUCUAUUAUCUAUUAUUCAUGGGUUUGUUGUUCACAUGAAUCACAUAUAGCUAUGACCUUUGCUGCAUUUAGGUUGGUGCUAUGCUCCAAGAAUUAGAAAAGGAGAUUGAUGAUGUGGAUGCACAAAUUGGAAAUCUUUGACAACUGCUUGAUAAGUAAGUCACUCCUAUGUAUGGAUUUUUUUAUGUCGUGUGCUUCUCAGCCAGUGCAUUUUGUUGCCGAGUUCUAUCUGAUAGGGAAACUUGAUGCUAUUUUAUGUUAAUUUAAAAUCGGUAGUAGCUCUGUUGCCCUGUCAAAACACAGUUCUGUGUCACGACCAAUUUAGUUUUAAUGUACUCUUAUUUUUUAGUGGCUGUUUUAUGUCCAUCAUUUGUAUUGGACUUUGUUUUCCUUGUGAUAUAUCAGCCGAGACACUUUUUUGAGUGUAUUUAUAAAAAUCACAAAAAGUCAUGUGUUUCUGUGAUCUACUACCUCACCAUAUUUAGAGGAUCAUUUUAUGAAAUGCACUAUUUCAUAAACUCGUCAUCCUUGUGGAGUCACUGCAAAAGCAUGGUUGCAAAUUCCUAUUAUUCUAAGGCCUGUUUGUUUCUAUGACCGGCCAACAUGCGACCGCGAUUAAGCGAUCACGGCUCUGAGGCUGUGUUUUGGAAAUCACCCAGUCAUGUUCAUUUUCUGAUGUAGACACGUUCGUAAUCGACUGUUUGGCAGGAAUAUUUUGCAUUUUCCGCUGAAAUGUUUCUUACAGUGUUUAUAUCUGCCUGCGCAAUUGCACCUAGCAGUUGAGGAGUGCCUCUUUGGCUCUUUUCGUGUAAGCAUUAACGUUUACUACCUACAUUCUUCAUGUGUUUUCUUGGCUUACUCGAUCGCGAAGUAUUAAUCUCUAUUUCUGACAGAUGGCUUGGCAAGAUUAUACUAGAGACUUGUAUUUCUCAGAUCCAUAUUUGGCUUAGGUCUAGCAUGCCAAAUGGACAGCCAAAAUGGCUUCUUUGUUUCAUACCAGAUUAUCCUAUGCUUAUCUUCAUGCUUACUAUAGCGAUCUAUCUUCUUGCGUGGAAGGAGUCGAACUGGGGAACAGGAGAGAAGGACCCCGCUAGCCCCAUCCUUGGUGGGAGGAAGAAGCUAGCGCCACCAUUGCAGCAGCAGGAGGUGGUGGAUCCAAGCCUACGCGACGGGUUCAGAGCGAAGGCGCUCCUCGGUAGACAAGACACCAGCAUCACUGAUACCUGCUCCCUGUCUUGACGGUAACAGCCAUGUCCAGCCACUUUCUUGUCAAAUGCAUCCAUUUCUUUUGCUUUAGCAAUUGGCAUGGGCCCUUCUCAAUUUUUGAUGGAGCAGUUGGCGUUUGGGAAUAGCACCAAUGAUUAUUAUCUUUCCUAGAGCAAAUUGGCAGUUGAUAGCCAUGAGAUUUCAGCGUUACUAAGACAUUAAUUAGUGUAAUCUAGAUGGAAACUUUCCUUGCAUUAUUUUUCAGCUGUAACUUACCACAAGAUUAAGUGGUUUUGGGAUUAUUUAUUUCUCAAGACCAGUUUAUUAAUUAGUUUCAUUAUAUUCUUAUCAACAUGCUCUCUCUCAUGAGACAUUGAUUAGUGUAUUAUGUAUUCUGGAUGAUGUGUGUUGUGCCAUACCAUGUAUUUGUUCUGAAGAACAGUUAAUUCAUUAGCUAUUUGGGCUAUUAUUUCUAGAAUAUGGUUGCUUAGAUCUUCCAACUUAUAGUGUGUUUGUAGCUUCUGUAGAAAUAUAUCCAAUGUGUGUUCACAUAUUUUUAGAGAUUUGGACACCUUACAAAGGGUAAGGAUUACGAGGAUCCACCAGACUCUGCAUCGGCGUGCCCACGGGCCAGAUGGCCAUCGAGGAGACACUACUGAUGGAGGCGCCAUCUUUGGUAGCUGAGGACAAAUUAGAGUUUGUCUUCCGGUGAAGUUUAUACCUUUUCCAAAUUUACUGCAUCACAGUUUAUUGCUUUUCAACAUGUGAGAUUGUGAUUGCAGUGUUAAACUAUUCAUAUUCUGCUUGCUUUUUGCAUAUUGCAUCACCGUCCUUUUUUUGGAGUGAUUGCAUUCUAUGGAUAUUUAGGAUCAUCAUGAUCUCAUAUUUGGAGAGUUCUAAUUUCAUAUUUGAGUAGGAAUUUUGGAUCGAGAAUAACAAGGGAGGUUUAUGGAGAGAGUAUCGAACACAGAGAGAGAUGAUCGGAGGUACUGGAGCCACCUAUCCACAAGGUACUUUGUUUUGGUUUUCAUUUUCCCGUAGUAAAUGUACUCAUUAGAAGGAGCGAGAUGGUCUAACUAAAAACAGUUAUUUGAGUAGGAAUUUUCUUAUGUUCUUCAACAAGACAAUAAUCUGAUCUUAUACUCGUUAUUCUUUUUCGGUGAACAUUUAAUGUAUUUCUUUUGUUAAUGAAUUGGUUGUUGGUACAUAACUAAAGUGCCAUGUUUAUAUUUUAGAUUUCACGUUGUUGCCUAUCUUAAGCCGAUUUGGUGACUAGAGGUAGGUUGGAGAUUGAUUUCUGCUUUCCUGCUGGUUCAUACAACCUAUUCUUCUGACUCCAUUUGGGUCGAUCGCAUAAGCUGAUGGGCCACAAAGGAUGUUGUUUUGAGAAUAUCCAUGGUUGGGACAUCAAAUGGACACAGUUGGGACAUCAAGUUUAGACGAGACUUUUGGUUUCACAAUGGCUACAAUGAAUGGAUCAGAAAGUGUAUUUGCAACGUGCAAGGGUGACAAGAAUAUGAACACUCUAAUGCACCACCCUUUUAGUAACUGGGCUGAUACAGUGAGUCGCUAUUUCGCAAGAUCGUCGUGGCCCUAUCAGGAACGGAGAUGCUCUUAGCGAAGCAGGAGGACAUGGUAGACGUGAACCUGAAGCUAAAGCUGACUUCCAGCCAAUCCAACAAGCAGCAGCAGGCGGGGAGUGGAUGCGCCUGCUAGAAGAGUGCUAGCUCUGCAUAUACGCUCGCUCGACAAACGUGUGUUGUUAACUAUUGUAUAUAGUGUUAUAAUCACUGUCCUUUAUUCCUGAUGUUUGUUUUGUAGUUGAAACUCACAUUGUUUUCUCGUUUCCAUCUCGAUUUUGUAUGCCGUGACCAUGAAAGAACAAAUGUUUUCCUAUGGUUUCUAAAA